rnacentral:rRNA from 1 species
AGUGAACGCUGGCGGUAGGCCUAACACAUGCAAGUCGAACGGCAGCACAGUAAGAGCUUGCUCUUACGGGUGGCGAGUGGCGGACGGGUGAGGAAUACAUCGGAAUCUACUUUUUCGUGGGGGAUAACGUAGGGAAACUUACGCUAAUACCGCAUACGACCUACGGGUGAAAGCAGGGGAUCUUCGGACCUUGCGCGAUUGAAUGAGCCGAUGUCGAUUAGCUAGUUGGCGGGGUAAAGGCCCACCAAGGCGACGAUCCGUAGCUGGUCUGAGAGGAUGAUCAGCCACACUGGAACUGAGACACGGUCCAGACUCCUACGGGAGGCAGCAGUGGGGAAUAUUGGACAAUGGGCGCAAGCCUGAUCCAGCCAUACCGCGUGGGUGGAGAAGGCCUUCGGGUUGUAAAGCCCUUUUGUUGGGAAAGAAAAGCAGCAGGUUAAUACCCCGCUGUUCUGGCGGUACCCAAAGAAUAAGCACCGGCUAACUUCGUG